GACGUAGGGUUCAAGCGUUGUCCGGAUUUACUGGGCGUAAAGAGCGCGUAGGCGGUCCGUUAAGUGUAGAGCGAAAUCUCUGGGCUCACCCCAGAAACUGCUCUGCAUACUGGCGGACUUGAGGGAUGCAGAGGUUUGUGGAAUUCCUGGUGUAGCGGUGAAAUGCGUUGAUAUCAGGAGGAACACCCAUGGCGAAGGCAGCAAACUGGGCAUCAUCUGACGCUGAGACGCGAAAGCGUGGGGAGCAAACAGG
rnacentral:rRNA from 1 species